rnacentral:rRNA from 1 species
AUUGAACGCUGGCGGCAGGCCUAACACAUGCAAGUCGAGCGGAUGAGUGGAGCUUGCUCCAUGAUUCAGCGGCGGACGGGUGAGUAAUGCCUAGGAAUCUGCCUGGUAGUGGGGGACAACGUUUCGAAAGGAGCGCUAAUACCGCAUACGUCCUACGGGAGAAAGCAGGGGACCUUCGGGCCUUGCGCUAUCAGAUGAGCCUAGGUCGGAUUAGCUAGUAGGUGAGGUAAUGGCUCACCUAGGCGACGAUCCGUAACUGGUCGGAGAGGAUGAUCAGUCACACUGGAACUGAGACACGGUCCAGACUCCUACGGGAGGCAGCAGUGGGGAAUAUUGGACAAUGGGCGAAAACCUGAUCCAGCCAUGCCGCGUGUGUGAAGAAGGUCUUCGGAUUGUAAAGCACUUUAAGUUGGGAGGAAGGGCAGUAAGUUAAUACCUUGCUGUUUUGACGUUACCAACAGAAUAAGCACCGGCUAACUUCGUGCCAGCCGCCGCGGUAACAC